UACGUAGGGUGCGAGCGUUAAUCGGAAUUACUGGGCGUAAAGCGUGCGCAGGCGGUUUUGUAAGCCAGAUGUGAAAUCCCCGGGCUCAACCUGGGAAUGGCAUUUGGGACUGCAAGGCUCGAGUUUGGCAGAGGAGACUGGAAUUCCUGGUGUAGCAGUGGAAAUGCGUAGAUAUCAGGAGGAAUACCGAUGGCGAAGGCAGGUCUCUGGGCUGAAACUGACGCUCAUGCACGAAAGCGUGGGGAGCAAACAGG
rnacentral:rRNA from 1 species